rnacentral:lncRNA from 10 species
CCAUGGGAGGACUGCUGGAGCACAGGAGUUCGGGACUAGCCUGGGCAGCACAGCGAGAUCCCAUUUCUACAAAAAACAGCAACAAAAAUUACGCAGGCAUGGUGGCACGCAUCUGUAGUCCUAGUUACUCUGGAGGCUGAGGAGGAGCAUCCCUUAAGCCCAGUAGUUCAAGGCUACAGUGAGCUAGGAUCUCACAAUUGCAACCCAGCCUGGGUGACAGAGUGAGACCCUGUCUCUAAUAACAAAUAUAUAAUUCCUCAUGAUGGUGUCCAGUCAUACUUUACUGGGGGAAAAAACCCACCUCAGGAGGGUCAAUAGGUUGGGCUAUAAUGCCCACUGCUG